rnacentral:rRNA from 1 species
AGAGUUUGAUCCUGGCUCAGAACGAACGCUGGCGGUAUGCCUAACACAUGCAAGUCGAACGCGAACGAAACCUUCGGGUUUCAAGUAGAGUGGCGCACGGGCGAGUAACACGUGGAUAACCUGCCCUAAAGUCUGGGAUAACACUUCGAAAGGGGUGCUAAUACCGGAUAAGCUCACGCCUUCCUCGGAAGAAGUGAGAAAAGAUUUAUUGCUUUAGGAUGGGUCCGCGGUCCAUUAGCUAGUUGGUGGGGUAACGGCCUGCCAAGGCUGCGAUGGAUAGCUGGUCUGAGAGGAUGAUCAGCCACACUGGAACUGAGACACGGUCCAGACUCCUACGGGAGGCAGCAGUGGGGAAUUUUGCGCAAUGGGGGAAACCCUGACGCAGCAAUACCGCGUGAAGGAUGAAGGCCCUUGGGUCGUAAACUUCUGUCAGAGGGGAAGAAAUACUCGCAGGAGUGCUGACGGUACCCUCAAAGGAAGCACCGGCUAACUCCGUGCCAGCAGCCGCGGUAAUACGGAGGGUGCAAGCGUUGUUCGGAAUUAUUGGGCGUAAAGAGCAUGUAGGCGGACUGUUAAGUCUGGUGUGAAAGCCCGGGGCUCAACCCCGGAAGUGCAUUGGAUACUGAUAGUCUUGAGUAUGGGAGAGGGAAGUGGA